CCCCGACCCCCACCCCCAAAAAAGCUGACGGAAUAACAUUAGGGCCCCAGUCAAGACCGUCCCAGCACCAAGAAGAGCUUGUUGGCUGCCAUAUCAAGAUGCUCUCCCGUGGGCCCGCUCCGCUCAGCUCUCCCCCGUCUCUCUCCCGCGGGGACCCGCUUGUUUUGGAGCGCAGAUCAUCCGUUCUCAGGUGUUUAAAUGUCACAGGGAAAUUUGUUGAGGGACUGACAUAUCAUAUCCCCAGAAGUCUUGUCAUCUAGUUCACGCUAAUGAUGGCUGUUGUAUUCCCUCUACCCCAGCCCUUUCGCCUCUUGAGCACCCAUGAGGAAAAAGUGCAUUGUAGUGGAUUGUGGGACCUUGAUGGCAGUUAUAAUGCAUCAUAUAAAACCAGCUGUUUCAUAUCACAGUGUUCCUAAAGGUGAGUUUUUUUCCAUCAGUUUUGUACUGAGUUACCAUUUAAAUACCAAAAGGUUUUGCAUAUCGUGAACCAAAAACCUUUCCCCAUCCACCUGCCUUGUGUUCUUUUGCUCUAAUGGCAAAAUGCCUUGUCAUGCCUCGCCACCUUGUCAACGUGACCUUUUUCCUGUGUUGAUCCAAUGUUUUGGACAGUGCUCUCCAUUGGUGUGCAUAAUAAAUGGAGUCAGGGCUGCACAUGUGGACACAUAAAGCCAUUACUGUCAACACGUUCUGUCAGCUGGUAUUUAUCAGGGGUUGGGGGCUCAGCUUCAGCCUGCUCUUCACCUUGAGGACACCGCGUGGUAGAUGAAGAGGGAAGCCAGGAAUUCAAAGACUCGGUGGGAAGCAGCCCUUUUCAACAACUUUCCAUACCAUAACUAAUAGACUUUGUUUGAAACUGCCAUCAUCCUAAAAGAAACCACUGGGAUUGAUUUGAUUUGUGAUUUGAUGGUGAGACAGAGCUAGGUUUUUUUUUAUAGUGAUAACAAUGCAUUUUGUAAGUUCAUCACUUCAAAUGUUUCCUGAUGUGUUUGUGUCACAAAACAUAUUUUUGGACACCACAUUUCAAAGGAAUUUCUCACUGUAUGCACAAGGUGGCAUCUGAAAGUGGAUGGUUUUUGAGCCUCUCCUUGACUUGAUAGCUUAGUUGUUGUCAAGCGCAAAGAAGAACUGCCAGCUUACAAAUGAAGUGACUGCUUGAAAUCUGCUCACAGUUCGCAUUGUGUUCUGUGCUCAAGCAACACUCUUAAUUGGAAUCGGUUUUGGGUGAGCUGGGCUGGAGUAACAAUGGCCAGAUUGCACACAGAGGCUCUGAGCCCAGUUCUCUCUGCAUGAGGUGGGAACAGCAGGCAGUCCUCCUGCACUGGACAGUGUGCAAUGUGCAGGACAGACAAUAAAUACUGAGAUGCUCCAUCACUGAGAUCUCAGAAACCACCUCGAUUCACAUUUCAUUAAUCAAAAUGAGGCCUUUAAGUGUGUUUUGUUGAACGUAAUUACAUAAUACUAUGUAACUGUUUAUUUAAUUCACCUACGGUAUAUGGAUGGUGUGUUUUUUUCCCAGUUCCAUGUUUUAAGUGCAGCCAUGUUGACUAUUUCAAAAAAGCUUUUACAUUUUUGUUUAUUGUUGCACCCCACAUCACUAGUAAGUCAUGUCAGACUAAAGGGUCUGCCCUCUGACUGCAUGUAAAUGAGAUGGCUCAGCUACAGCCCACCUCAGCCCUGUGAGCUGUCCGUGUGAGCGGCCGAGCCGGCCAUCAAUGGAAUUCUAAAUGCUAGUUUGAAUUUAUCACGCCCUGAAAGAAGAAGAGGGAAAAAAAGAUCAGUCCAACAUUUCAGCUAACCAGACCAGAUGAGGUCAGAUUAUUAUCAAACUUGCUGAACCAGAAACUUGCUUUUGCGCCUUGAGGAGGAAGGUACUGACAGUCCAAGGCCUUGGAGACUGCAAGAAGAAAAAAAAACUGGGCGGCGUGGAAUUGCUACUGUAAGCACUCGUAUUAUUAACAUUUAGGUGUGCUUACAAGACAGUAUUAAAACACAGUAAGCAAAAAAGAAAAAGAGCUGCAGCGCUGUACAUCAAAAACGCUGCUAUGUGCUGCCAUUUUCCACACCAUUUCCAUUACAGUUGUCACCACCACUUCACUUGAACACAGUAGCAAGCGUCGCAAAAGCAGUUUUUCGAAACACCCAUUGCAUGUAUGUUUCCAUAAAUAUUGUGUUAGAAGUAGCACUGGUCAUAGUUUACUUUCAGGUCCUCCAUAUUCAUACCGAGUAUGAAAAAACAUGAGGCAUAAUCAAGGGCAACUUGAUGUGGCUGAACUUUGAAAACAAAAACACAGUUGGCGAGACGCAGCUGCUCAAGGUAUUCUGCUGGAAGGACAAAAGAGUAGAAAGAUGAAAAAGGUUUCUGUACAGACAAAAUAAAAACAAAUUAAAAAAACAACCUUGGGACAUAACUGUACGGUUUUCAGGAGCUGGCUGGCAGAUGUAAGUUUGUAAGAAGUUUCAGUCAGUCACUGAGCCCUUCAAGGCAGUCUGCAGUGUGACGGCCUGGCGGACGGGAAUUGAAAGACGAAUCGAUAGAGAUCACAGCUCAAAUGAAGACUGAUUUUAAUUGGCUUAGCGCUAUUGACUGGAGCCUCCGUCUCCCCCUUUGUUCUGCUCUGCUGUCUAUGUUGGCUUUGGACUCCAAAAUGAAGUUGUGCUAAUCACAGAGUGUUCAUUAGUGAGAACAAGCUCCAUCAUGGAGGUCAUCGGCCACGAAUGCUUUUCUGUCUGGAGUGACAGGGUCACUGUGACUCAGACUAUUUGAUAGACUCACAUACAGCGCCGAUGGCGACGCUCACCUGCACACAUUUUUCUUCACAGCCCGAACUCCUCUCAAUAGCAUUUAGUUGACAUCUGUAGUUGAAUUGACAAAACAUCAUUAAUUGCAUUGCCAUCCAGUCUGUGUAUGCUAUACACUCUUGUAAACAUUUAUUGAAACACAAUAUGGUUUCCCUGAAUUACAAUCUAUUGCAUGCUGAAAGGUCCCUUAAUGUGAGAUAUUCGAUUGUUUUUACUGAAUGGAAGAAUCCAUUCAAUUUUGGACCGGAUCUGAAUCACUGGCUUGAUCCAUGCAUUUAGUUUCAUUUCCGCAAAUGUUGCCAGAUAGGGCAUUUGGCCUUGUAUGAGGGCUGUGCUCUCCAAGUGCCCUUCUAGUCUAAAGUCAUUUCAAGCCGCCUAAUGCAAUUCCAGUGUUCAGAUACUAUUAAAACAAUAAUUGUAUCAGCCAGUAUUGUAUUUUGUUUUUUAGCAAUCUAAUUUAUAUUUAAUAGUGCCUUUCCUACAAAUUUGAAAUACAAAGUUCUGAAUGACUCCACCAGUCCAUAGAAAAAGACAUGACAGAUAAGAAUGACCUGUAGAGAAAUGAUCACAAAUACAGUAAACCUCUAAAUUAAAUAAUAGGAAUGAUAAGACAGAAAGAUUCUCAGCUCCUGUGGCUGGCUGUUCCAGAGACGGGGACCAUAGACACUAAAAGCUACCCCUAAGUAUUUUAAGUCCUCACUUCUAGAAUGAUUCAAAGGCUAGCACCAGCUGAUCUAAGUGGCCUAGGACUGCGCCAGAUAGAGCAACCCAGAUGGGCAACCUGCUUAUAACUAUACUGUGGUCAACUAUAUCAAACAUGGCGGUCAGCUCUAAAAGUACUAGAAUUGAGAGUUUAUUCUCCUCCAGGCUUAUUCUAAGAUCAUUGACCACCCUACUUAUUUUACUCCUUGUUUCAAUUAAGUUGUGCAAGGUGCAGCUAAUCAUUCGGCUCUGUCUCUGAAAAUGUAUCCUGUCACUUUUUAAUGCUUUAUGUUGUGCACACCCCUUUGUCCAUAAUGUGGUGCAUGUAAGUUGGAGAAUGUGUACCAUUCUGUACUGGAACAUUCCUUGAAUGUAGUAGUUAGGAUUCAGAGCUUUCACUGCAGUGCUCCAGGUGUGUUUAUUCCCAAUUCCUCACAGGUUUUAAGAAGCAAGCUACAUGAUACACGUAUGACCUUGAAUAACUCCGCUGUGCUGUCCCAGGCACUUACACUGAAGACGGCUUGACACCGAGACGCGUUUGUAGUCAAGGGCAUGGUGCAAUAAAUCCUUUUAAAAGUAUAUUACACAAGAGAGUUUGGUUUCCUCCACUUCAAGACUAUCCCAGGCACCACCAUCCAAGUUGUGUUAACAUUGAACAGAAUAAAAAGUGUGUGUAGUUUCUGCUCUAGGUUGCAGUCCUCACAAGGGAGCUGACUCCCCAAAUGCAAGUGGAAUAAACAUCAAAAUAUCCUUUGCAGCUGUAUCCUCUGAAACUGUCACUGUAGACAUGAGGGAUUAAGUGUGUUUCAGAAUAAAUGUAUGACACAACAUGAUGGACACACAUGCAGGGAUUUGCACAAGUCACUAAAAUUUAUCACACAGAAGUUAAUAUCAUAGGUGGUAGCCUCGACAUCUCGGAGUGGAACUUUGCUUGUUGGAACUUUAGACCCAUGUGGAAUCAGAAAGUUACAGGUUAACACUUCCCACUCCUUUUUGAACUUUGUCUUUAAGACCCCGAACACUGCACUUAACCCCACAUUACUCCAGCGGAACAGCCCAGAGGGCUUCAGACUUAGAUAUACUAUGGCUGCAUGUGUGUGUGCUGUGUGUUUGUGUGUGUGUGUGAGAGAGUGUGUGUGUCUGUGUGUGUGUGUGUGUGUACUUGGCAGGGCAUUGCUGCUAGCAGAAGCUGAUCAGUAGCUGCCCAGUCUCCUUACCCAUGGGUACCCAGUUUUGAAACCGAGAUGUCUGAACGCCUCAAAUAAUCAGCAGUAAAGACAACAGAGACAAAUUCUCUAAUAUCAAGGUCAAUGCAUUUGACUGCUGUCCAGCCCCGGGUUGCCACCGAAAACUUUAUGCAUCUUGGACUGGAAGAUGGUGUGCUAGUAAGGAAGCUAGCUACCACAGCUUUUGCCACCACAUCUCAGUGUUGGGAGGGAAGUUCACUCACUGCACAACUCUACCAGCUGUACCUUUCCUCCUCAGCCAUGAUCCGUAACCACCAUGGUUUUCUUUCUGGGCCAGAAGACUUUGCAAACAAAUAA